GAUGAACGCUGGCGGCGUGCCUAAUACAUGCAAGUCGAACGCUGAAGCUUGGUGCUUGCACCGAGCGGAUGAGUUGCGAACGGGUGAGUAACGCGUAGGUAACCUGCCUCUUAGCGGGGGAUAACUAUUGGAAACGAUAGCUAAUACCGCAUAAAAGUCGAUAUCGCAUGAUAUUGAUUUGAAAGGUGCAAAUGCAUCACUAAGAGAUGGACCUGCGUUGUAUUAGCUAGUUGGUGAGGUAACGGCUCACCAAGGCGACGAUACAUAGCCGACCUGAGAGGGUGAUCGGCCACACUGGGACUGAGACACGGCCCAGACUCCUACGGGAGGCAGCAGGAGGGAAUCUUCGGCAAUGGGGGCAACCCUGACCGAGCAACGCCGCGUGAGGGAAGAAGGUUUUCGGAUCGUAAAGCUCGGUUGUAAGAGAAGAACGAGUGUGAGAGUGGAAAGUUCACACUGUGACGGUAACUGACCAGAAAGGGACGGCUAACUACGUG
rnacentral:rRNA from 1 species